UUUACUAUAAUUGUUUGUGUGAAGCUAUAAUGCUCCUAUUUUCGUUUUAUUUGAGCUAAUUGGAUGGGUGUGCUGUACGUUGAGGCCUGUUUGGCUUGGUGAACUUGCCUUUUUUUGGCCCAUUAUGUGUGCGUUUCCAUUUCAUAAGCUGCUUUUGUAGCAUUUUUAUGACCGUUUCAAUGUUAGGGAUGACAAACCAGCCAUUGUUCUAUUAUUCUGCCAGUACAGUGUUGUCUGGCUUUCCGUCCAUUCUGUGCCCGGUGAGGACUGUAACCUGGCAUAGGUCUCCCAAGUUUGUGUUUUAAGCCUUUGGAUGCUGACUAAAUUGUUCCUUCUGCUAAAAAUGCCAGCCCGAUGAUUGUGUGUGCUGUUUCUAAUUGUAUAAAAAGGUAGGAUUGCGGUCACUGAUGGUGUAGUGGUACACUCGCCUGACUGUGGUGCAGGCAGCGUGGGUUCAGUUCCCACUCAGUGACGGUGUGAAUGUGAGUGCGAAUCGUUGUCCGUGUCUAUAUGUACCCUGCGACUGACUGGCGACCAGUUCAGGGUGUAGUCCGCCUUUCGCCCGAUCAGCUGGGAUAGGCUCCAGCGUCCCGCAACCCUAACCAGGAUAAGCGGUGUUAAAAAUGGAAGAGUAAUCACCCUGGAAUCUAACACACUUUGCCAGCCUUCUCCGCUACGCCUUCAUGCACUCCUGCAAGGAUUUUUCCGGGAUCCUCCACAGCUCCGUCGUCAUGGCCAUCCGUCUUGAUGUCGUCCCCUUGAGGCGUCACGAGCUUGGGAAAGAGGGGAAAAAAAAUCCCACGGAGCCAAGUCGGUCGGAAACUCCGGGGCUCCCCGUCGACUGGAGCCAAGCGUGUGAGGGGAGUGUUGAUUCGCACUGCCAAAUGUCACCUCUGUGCAGUCGUUGCACUGGAGUCCAUCCGGCGGGCCAUCGGGGGCUUUAAAGCGCCCAAGGGGUAAGGUAAAGACUACUUUCUGUUUUAUAUGAGUGGAGACGUCUGCUGCUGGGUGCUUGUUAACGCCCCCCUAAGCAGCGCUGUUGCUUUCAUCUUCUGUGGUGUGUCCAGACAUCUUCUACCAGUGGUCCACUCGUCCGCCGCCGACAUCAAAGCCGUCGAGCUCCAGCUGAGAUGUUUAUCUGCUUCCAAGUCUUGAAGCCACCCAGCCAAGAGGAUCAAUAGUGGGCUCUCGCCAUCUGUGUCCCAUGCUCUGCUCGACGCGAACGCUAGGUUUCCAGAUGUGCCAGGGGUCAGGGGUUAAAGAUAAAAGUACCAGGAUGUGGCGGUACCCCCACUCGAAGACAGUUGCAGUGUGCGCAUUCCUCACCGGAGGGGGCCGACGAGCCGAGUGCCUCGCGUUUCUUCUUUCCGCCGCUCGCUGUCGGAGGCCUCGUUUCGCAGCCGAGAGUUACGACACCGCAACUUCUACUUACUGGCUGUGUUUACCAAAAGGUAAAAUGUCAGCCGUGUUAAACAUACUGCGGGGAAGUUGUUCGCUGCUCUUAAAACUUGCCUCCGACCCGCCCUGCAGGGGGCGGCCACCACACGUGUUAAAAUCAUACAUCUUUUAUCACCCAGAAAAAUGAAAUCAGUUAGCACCACAUCCGUGAUUAGAAAUCCUCUAGAGGAACUUAAAGUGCGUAACAUAACGGGGCGGGACUCAUGGCGUUUCACCCCCUGCCUGGCACCCAGCGAUAGCGAUACAGACAUCACAAGUUGUGUAGGAGAGUCUAUUACGUCAACGUCCCCCCAGAAAUUGGGCUAAUUUCACAAAAAUGCUAAUACGAUUAUUUUGAGUGUGUCAGAGGCUUAAUAAGUGUGAAAAUUGGCCUGUCAUAUAAGACCUGGGGGCGCUGCUAAAUUGCGUGAUUACAGCGGCAAAGCCUCGACCUCCCGUAUUGUUUCCUAACAUAUCGUAAUCUGCAAAAAUUGAAAAUAGAUCGGACAACUUCAUUAGGAUUCGUAAAAUUGGUAAUGCGACAGCGACAACUUUAUUUUGCGGUAUUAUGCUAAUUAUGAGAUUUAGAGGAUGUAAAAAGAUUACACGUCCCCUUGAGAGCACUUCUUUUAUUAUUCAUUUUGAACUUUAAGGUUGGGGGCUCACCCCCAAAAUUGUGUACCGAUUGAAUUGUGUAAAAAUCAGUGAUCUAAAGAUUUCCGUAUGUUUUUACCAACAUUUGUUAAGAUUUUUACAUAGCUACUCAAGUGAUAUUUGUACAUAACAGACUGUUGUCAUUGUUAGAGAGCUAGACUUUUGUUUUCCCGCAAGUGGCAAUGCAGGUUACAAAAUAUUGUUUCGAGACAAAACCAUAUGCCGUGUUUUAAAAAACAACAAAAAAAAAAAUAUUAAGAAAAUGAUUUAAAUUUGGUCAACGUGACAAUUUCGGAGUCCGCGUGUAUUUUUUAAAAUAUUUAAUUAUUUAUUUUUUAAGCCAUGGCUACUAGGAGUGAGGCAGCCAAACAAUGUGCUGUUAGACUGAAUUUCUGCAAAAUGUUGUUUUGCUUUCAAGUGGAACAAUAUGGAUAUACAGUAUGGCAGCGUAAACGGGGAAAAAAGAAAACAACAACAUGAAAUUGUUUAUCUUCACAUCGGAAUCAGGCCUCAUCCAAAUGUGGAAACAAAUCCAACGUAUUGGAUAUUGCGACGUUGACGCACAGAUUGGCGAUUCCUUUUGAAUGCGAGCUUGAUGUCAUCGAAAAAUACACCUGUACCCAAACAACACAAAUAAUCACACACCGUGAAUCUAAACUACAGCAAAACCGUAGACAAGUAAAUAUAGUCUAAAUAUGAUGCAUUAGACUCAUUAAAUAAGCACAGUAAUUGCCAAUGGCGGCUAGUGAGUGGAGUGAUGUGGUCAGUAACUACUGGUUAUAACAUCAUUGAAAUCAAUAGAGGGAAGAGUCAGUCCAGGCCAAACAAACGCCAUGUGAUAUUUAUUUUUUAUUUUCAUUUUUUUUUUACUUCCAUGUUGUCACUGCAGAGUGGAGUUACUUUUGUGCAAUUUGUGAGUCUGCGCAUGCGCGUUGUUCCAUCACUCCCACAUUGAGUAUGUGUCACUUGAAAUACUCACGUACAGAGACAAUAAUAAAAAACAGAUACAAGCAUUAAAUUCGAAUGGGGAACGUAGACCAUCACCUGCAAUGUAAAUAAAGCCUCUGACAUGGCUUCAAAAAUUAUUUUGUUCCUUCUUAUAUCUGUGCAUUGAAAUGUUAUUUUUCCCUAUCAAUAAAUAUAUUUUUCUACCAUUAUUUUAGCUGUUGCCUGGGUGUGUGUAUGGUAUUUUUUUAGGGUUUUAGCAUUGUCUUUCAAAAGAGGUGGACAUUUUGUGAGGGAGUGUUUUGGAAGGGGGAGAGGCUAGAGUUUGUCUUUGACUUGUUGACGAGCUUCUACAGGACCACUAGAUGGCGUCAGAUCCUUCAGGAGAGCUUUGGGACCUCCACACAAGCCCGGACAAACCCAUGAAAGUGGAGCACGGGACGCCACAGACUUGCACUGAGACCGCAGCCUCGUCGUCCAGUGCCCUCGCACCGUUGGAGAAACAUAGCCCGCACAAUGUCUUUUUUAAUUGUAUUUAUUUAUUUUUUAUUUUUUUGUCAUAUUGACAAUUCUCACCACUUUUUUUUUUUGAUCGCGUUUGGCUUUUCCCCGAAGCUGUAAUUAUGUCGAAAAUGGCUUGGAUUCCAAAUGUUGUUUUGAAUAUGACGCAUCAAAUAGCUGUUAUUACAACUGAAUAACAGAGCUUUUGAAGUAGAAACAAAUGCAUGUCCCAGUCUCUAAUGGAGGUAAAAGGAUAUACAUGGGAUAGCCUUAAGUGUUGAUAAAAGUAGAAUUGUUGUGAUUGAAGUGCGUUAAAACAAUGGUAGGAAAAUAAACAAACAAAAAAACAACAGCACUGGUACCCGUAUUAACUGUUGCUACGCAGACAUGGUGUCACCCGUCCUGACACAACAUAUUUAAGCACUCGUCCCACAGGAGUCAACUCAUGUCAGUAGACGUUUAAUGUUGUGAAAUGAGGCAAAAAACAAAACUCUAGUUUCACUCCAUCUCUGGCGUGCAUUGUACCGUUUAGCAUUGACUUGGAGUGUUUUGCGUCACGCUUGUAAAUAAUGCAUUGUUGCACACAGCCUUUAUGAAUAUUAUAUUAUAAUAUAAUAAAGUAUGUUUGAUUUGAACAAGCGGUGCAUUUUCAUUGCAUCAAACUAAAUGAUUUUUUGUUUGUUUUUUUGCAUUAGUUCAACUGCUGCUGCGCCUCUUCAAUAUAAAACAGUCAAUUAGAACUGCAGUGCAGUGAAUGACCGAUUGUUGGUAGCCCUUCCUGCUUCUGAAAUAUUAAAUGCCUAAUAUGUCA